rnacentral:lncRNA from 1 species
CGCGCAAGCACACGCGCGACCGGGCCGCUGGACCCAGGCGCGCACGAGCUCAAGACCCGCUUCCCCAGCCACUGACACACCCGGCCAGGGUGACAGCGAAGAGCCAGGCCCUCAAGGGCUCGCACACGCACAACGCUAGUUGGUCUGGCCAGAGAACACGCACACCUCUCAGGGCACAGGGCCUAGGGAGGGCAGAAGCAGGAACCUGCUCCAGACAGGCUGCGGAUGACGUGCUGAGGAUCCCAUGUUGGUUGAGACUGGUGAUAGGGUGAUCACAGAGGUGGAGAUGUGGUGCUGAUGUGCUGGGGGGGCGUGGACAGAGCUGGGGUGUUGAUAAUGGUGGAGGUGAUGGGCAAGUGACAGCAAUAGGCAAAUGGUGACAGUUUAUGCAAUCUCCAAGGUAGUAGGCUAUGACUUUAGUAGUAAUAGCAUAGUCUUGGAGGACCUCUGGUUAUGACAUCUGCCAGCUACGACACCUGGGGCAGUCAUUUAAAUUUUCUGUGUCUUGGUUUCCUCAUCUGUACUAGAAAGAUAAUAAUGCCUACUUCUCAGAG